GAUGAACGCUGGCGGCGUGCCUAAUACAUGCAAGUCGAGCGAACAGACGAGGAGCUUGCUCCUCUGACGUUAGCGGCGGACGGGUGAGUAACACGUGGAUAACCUACCUAUAAGACUGGGAUAACUUCGGGAAACCGGAUCUAAUACCGGAUAAUAUAUUGAACCGCAUGGUUCAAUAGUGAAAGACGGUUUUGCUGUCACUUAUAGAUGGAUCCGCGCCGCAUUAGCUAGUUGGUAAGGUAACGGCUUACCAAGGCAACGAUGCGUAGCCGACCUGAGAGGGUGAUCGGCCGCACUGGAACUGAGACACGGUCCAGACUCCUACGGGAGGCAGCAGUAGGGAAUCUUCCGCAAUGGGCGAAAGCCUGACGGAGCAACGCCGAGUGAGUGAUGAAGGUCUUCGGAUCGUAAAACUCUGUUAUUAGGGAAGAACAAAUGUGUAAGUAACUAUGCACGUCUUGACGGUACCUAAUCAGAAAGCCACGGCUAACUACGUG
rnacentral:rRNA from 1 species